AGCAGCCGCGGUAAUUCCAGCUCCAAUAGCGUAUAUUAAAGUUGUUGCAGUUAAAAAGCUCGUAGUUGAAUUUCGGGGUCAGUAGAUUGGUCAUGCCACUGGUAUGUACUGGUCUCACUGAUUCCUCCUUCCUGAUGAGCCGUAAUGCCAUUAAUUUGGUGUUGCGAGGAAUCUGGACUGUUACUUUGAAAAAAUUAGAGUGUUUAAAGCAAGCUAACGCUUGAAUACAUUAGCAUGGAAUAAUGAAAUAGGACGUUCGAUCCUAUUUUGUUGGUUUCUAGGAUUGACGUAAUGAUUAAUAGGGAUAGUUGGGGGCAUUAGUAUUCAAUUGUCAGAGGUGAAAUUCUUGGAUUUAUUGAAGACUAACUACUGCGAAAGCAUUUGCCAAGGAUGUUUUCAUUAAUCAAGAACGAAAGUUAGGGGAUCGAAGACGAUCAGAUACCGUCGUAGUCUUAACCAUAAACUAUGCCGACUAGGGAUCGGAUGAUGUUAAUUUUUUAAUGACUCU
rnacentral:rRNA from 1 species